rnacentral:rRNA from 1 species
GACGAACCGUGCGAACGUUAUUCGGAAUCAUUGGGCUUAAAGCGCGUGUAGGCGGAUUCGUGCGUCUGUCGCUGAAAUCCCCCGGCUCAACCGGGGAACGGGCGCGGAUACGACGAGUCUGGAGGGGCAUAGGGGGACCUGGAACUUCCGGUGGAGCGGUGAAAUGCGUUGAUAUCAGAAGGAACGCCGGCGGCGAAAGCGGCGCACUGGACCUCUGCUGACGCUGAGGCGCGAAAGCCAGGGGAGCAAACGGG